UGAAUUCUCUCCCCCAGUGCCACAGACCUGAGGGCACAUGACCCAGGAAUGUGCAUCCAAAGAUAAUACUACCUUCAGAGAACUCUACUUAUAGUGGUGAAAUUGAAUCACUGAAGCAGCUGAGGCAGAGAGCUUUUCCUUCAGGAUUCAUGGCCUAUUUCUCAGUUCUGGGAAGACAACUCUAACAACUCAACAGACUGAAGAGAGAUAAAGAUGUUGGGAAUGACUGAUUUCAAACAAUCAAAACUGCUUUGGGGAUGAGGAUGAAGUUGGGACAUUACUGCCUUGUAUACCACAUACUAUAAUAUUUAUUAUGUCUAUUGUUUAUUGUGUGUGUCCUUCUUUAGAAUUUUAACUCCCCAAGGGCAAAGAUCCCUGACUGUUUUGUUUAUCAAUGUAUCCAAAAGGCCUAAAACAGAGGCCUUGUACCUUAUACACACUCUGCAAAUAUUUGCUGAAUUGAAUAAAAGGCUGCCGAUAUAUAAA
rnacentral:lncRNA from 1 species